rnacentral:rRNA from 1 species
UUAAGCGACUAAGCGUACACGGUGGAUGCCCUGGCAGUCAGAGGCGAUGAAGGACGUGCUAAUCUGCGAUAAGCGUCGGUAAGGUGAUAUGAACCGUUAUAACCGGCGAUUUCCGAAUGGGGAAACCCAGUGUGAUUCGUCACACUAUCAUUAACUGAAUCCAUAGGUUAAUGAGGCGAACCGGGGGAACUGAAACAUCUAAGUACCCCGAGGAAAAGAAAUCAACCGAGAUUCCCCCAGUAGCGGCGAGCGAACGGGGAGCAGCCCAGAGCCUGAAUCAGUGUGUGUGUUAGUGGAAGCGUCUGGAAAGGCGUGCGAUACAGGGUGACAGCCCCGUACACAAAAAUGCACAUACUGUGAGCUCGAUGAGUAGGGCGGGACACGUGGUAUCCUGUCUGAAUAUGGGGGACCAUCCUCCAAGGCUAAAUACUCCUGACUGACCGAUAGUGAACCAGUACCGUGAGGGAAAGGCGAAAAGAACCCCGGCGAGGGGAGUGAAAAAGAACCUGAAACCGUGUACGUACAAGCAGUGGGAGCACGCUUAGGCGUGUGACUGCGUACCUUUUGUAUAAUGGGUCAGCGACUUAUAUUCUGUAGCAAGGUUAACCGAAUAGGGGAGCCGAAGGGAAACCGAGUCUUAACUGGGCGUUAAGUUGCAGGGUAUAGACCCGAAACCCGGUGAUCUAGCCAUGGGCAGGUUGAAGGUUGGGUAACACUAACUGGAGGACCGAACCGACUAAUGUUGAAAAAUUAGCGGAUGACUUGUGGCUGGGGGUGAAAGGCCAAUCAAACCGGGAGAUAGCUGGUUCUCCCCGAAAGCUAUUUAGGUAGCGCCUCGUGAAUUCAUCUCCGGGGGUAGAGCACUGUUUCGGCAAGGGGGUCAUCCCGACUUACCAACCCGAUGCAAACUGCGAAUACCGGAGAAUGUUAUCACGGGAGACACACGGCGGGUGCUAACGUCCGUCGUGAAGAGGGAAACAACCCAGACCGCCAGCUAAGGUCCCAAAGUCAUGGUUAAGUGGGAAACGAUGUGGGAAGGCCCAGACAGCCAGGAUGUUGGCUUAGAAGCAGCCAUCAUUUAAAGAAAGCGUAAUAGCUCACUGGUCGAGUCGGCCUGCGCGGAAGAUGUAACGGGGCUAAACCAUGCACCGAAGCUGCGGCAGCGACGCUUAUGCGUUGUUGGGUAGGGGAGCGUUCUGUAAGCCUGUGAAGGUGUACUGUGAGGUAUGCUGGAGGUAUCAGAAGUGCGAAUGCUGACAUAAGUAACGAUAAAGCGGGUGAAAAGCCCGCUCGCCGGAAGACCAAGGGUUCCUGUCCAACGUUAAUCGGGGCAGGGUGAGUCGACCCCUAAGGCGAGGCCGAAAGGCGUAGUCGAUGGGAAACAGGUUAAUAUUCCUGUACUUGGUGUUACUGCGAAGGGGGGACGGAGAAGGCUAUGUUGGCCGGGCGACGGUUGUCCCGGUUUAAGCGUGUAGGCUGGUUUUCCAGGCAAAUCCGGAAAAUCAAGGCCGAGGCGUGAUGACGAGGCACUACGGUGCUGAAGCAACAAAUGCCCUGCUUCCAGGAAAAGCCUCUAAGCAUCAGGUAACAUCAAAUCGUACCCCAAACCGACACAGGUGGUCAGGUAGAGAAUACCAAGGCGCUUGAGAGAACUCGGGUGAAGGAACUAGGCAAAAUGGUGCCGUAACUUCGGGAGAAGGCACGCUGAUACGUAGGUGAAGCGACUUGCUCGUGGAGCUGAAAUCAGUCGAAGAUACCAGCUGGCUGCAACUGUUUAUUAAAAACACAGCACUGUGCAAACACGAAAGUGGACGUAUACGGUGUGACGCCUGCCCGGUGCCGGAAGGUUAAUUGAUGGGGUUAGCGCAAGCGAAGCUCUUGAUCGAAGCCCCGGUAAACGGCGGCCGUAACUAUAACGGUCCUAAGGUAGCGAAAUUCCUUGUCGGGUAAGCUCCGACCUGCACGAAUGGCGUAAUGAUGGCCAGGCUGUCUCCACCCGAGACUCAGUGAAAUUGAACUCGCUGUGAAGAUGCAGUGUACCCGCGGCAAGACGGAAAGACCCCGUGAACCUUUACUAUAGCUUGACACUGAACAUUGAGCCUUGAUGUGUAGGAUAGGUGGGAGGCUUUGAAGUGUGGACGCCAGUCUGCAUGGAGCCGACCUUGAAAUACCACCCUUUAAUGUUUGAUGUUCUAACGUGGACCCGUAAUCCGGGUUGCGGACAGUGUCUGGUGGGUAGUUUGACUGGGGCGGUCUCCUCCUAAAGAGUAACGGAGGAGCACGAAGGUUGGCUAAUCCUGGUCGGACAUCAGGAGGUUAGUGCAAUGGCAUAAGCCAGCUUGACUGCGAGCGUGACGGCGCGAGCAGGUGCGAAAGCAGGUCAUAGUGAUCCGGUGGUUCUGAAUGGAAGGGCCAUCGCUCAACGGAUAAAAGGUACUCCGGGGAUAACAGGCUGAUACCGCCCAAGAGUUCAUAUCGACGGCGGUGUUUGGCACCUCGAUGUCGGCUCAUCACAUCCUGGGGCUGAAGUAGGUCCCAAGGGUAUGGCUGUUCGCCAUUUAAAGUGGUACGCGAGCUGGGUUUAGAACGUCGUGAGACAGUUCGGUCCCUAUCUGCCGUGGGCGCUGGAGAACUGAGGGGGGCUGCUCCUAGUACGAGAGGACCGGAGUGGACGCAUCACUGGUGUUCGGGUUGUCAUGCCAAUGGCACUGCCCGGUAGCUAAAUGCGGAAGAGAUAAGUGCUGAAAGCAUCUAAGCACGAAACUUGCCCCGAGAUGAGUUCUCCCUGACCCUUUAAGGGUCCUGAAGGAACGUUGAAGACGACGACGUUGAUAGGCCGGGUGUGUAAGCGCAGCGAUGCGUUGAGCUAACCGGUACUAAUGAACCGUGAGGCUUAACCUU